rnacentral:rRNA from 1 species
AGCAGCCGCGGUAAUUCCAGCUCCAAUAGCGUAUAUUAAAGUUGUUGCAGUUAAAAAGCUCGUAGUUGAAUUUCGGGGUUAGUAGGCUGGUCGUGCCACUGGUACGUACUGGUCUCACUGAUUCCUCCUUCCUGAUGAACUGUAAUGCCAUUAAUUUGGUGUUGCAGGGAAACUGGACUGUUACUUUGAAAAAAUUAGAGUGUUUAAAGCAAGCUAACGCUUGAAUACAUUAGCAUGGAAUAAUGAAAUAGGACGUUCGAUCCUAUUUUGUUGGUUUCUAGGAUUGACGUAAUGAUUAAUAGGGAUAGUUGGGGGCAUUAGUACUCAAUUGUCAGAGGUGAAAUUCUUGGAUUUAUUGAAGACUAACUACUGCGAAAGCAUUUGCCAAGGAUGUUUUCAUUAAUCAAGAACGAAAGUUAGGGGAUCGAAGACGAUCAGAUACCGUCGUAGUCUUAACCAUAAACUAUGCCGACUAGGGAUCGGAUGAUGUUAAUUUUUUAAUGACUCGUUUGGCACCUUA